AUUGAACGCUGGCGGCAUGCCUUACACAUGCAAGUCGAACGGCAGCACGGGUGCCUGCACCUGGUGGCGAGUGGCGAACGGGUGAGUAAUACAUCGGAACGUACCUUAUCGUGGGGGAUAACGCAGCGAAAGCUGUGCUAAUACCGCAUACGCCCUGAGGGGGAAAGCGGGGGAUCGCAAGACCUCGCGCGAUUAGAGCGGCCGAUGCCUGAUUAGCUUGUUGGUGGGGUAAAAGCCCGCCAAGGCGACGAUCAGUAGCUGGUCUGAGAGGACGAUCAGCCACACUGGGACUGAGACACGGCCCAGACUCCUACGGGAGGCAGCAGUGGGGAAUUUUGGACAAUGGGGGCAACCCUGAUCCAGCAAUGCCGCGUGAGUGAAGAAGGCCUUCGGGUUGUAAAGCUCUUUUGUCAGGGAAGAAACACCGGCUCUAACACAGUCUGGGAAUGACGGUACCUGAAGAAUAAGCACCGGCUAACUACGUGCCAGCCGCCGCAGUAA
rnacentral:rRNA from 1 species